CAACACAUGCAAGUCGAACGCCCCGCAAGGGGAGUGGCAGACGGGUGAGUAACGCGUGGGAACGUACCCUUUACUACGGAAUAACUCAGGGAAACUUGUGCUAAUACCGUAUGUGCCCUUCGGGGGAAAGAUUUAUCGGUAAAGGAUCGGCCCGCGUUGGAUUAGCUAGUUGGUGGGGUAAAGGCCUACCAAGGCGACGAUCCAUAGCUGGUCUGAGAGGAUGAUCAGCCACAUUGGGACUGAGACACGGCCCAAACUCCUACGGGAGGCAGCAGUGGGGAAUAUUGGACAAUGGGCGCAAGCCUGAUCCAGCCAUGCCGCGUGAGUGAUGAAGGCCCUAGGGUUGUAAAGCUCUUUCACCGGUGAAGAUAAUGACGGUAACCGGAGAAGAAGCCCCGGCUAACUUCGUGCCAGCAGCCGCGGUAAUACGAAGGGGGCUAGCGUUGUUCGGAAUUACUGGGCGUAAAGCGCACGUAGGCGGGUAUUUAAGUCAGGGGUGAAAUCCCGGAGCUCAACUCCGGAACUGCCUUUGAUACUGGGUACCUAGAGUAUGGAAGAGGUAAGUGGAAUUCCGAGUGUAGAGGUGAAAUUCGUAGAUAUUCGGAGGAACACCAGUGGCGAAGGCGGCUUACUGGUCCAUUACUGACGCUGAGGUGCGAAAGCGUGGGGA
rnacentral:rRNA from 1 species